GCAUUGUAUGUUUGGAAUUCCAAAAAGGUUUUGGUAACAUCUCAGCGAUCAUUAGCUCAGAUCUUGGACUAAAGAUCAGAGGCAGAACAAAGAGACCUGCUCUAGCUUGCCUAUUCUUGGGUUCCACACUGGCUUUGCCUGGACUUCCAAGCUGAGAGUAUCUCCCUGCUCCAGCAUCAUCCUACCACAACUUCAUCAUGAAAUGGAAGAAGGAGAGCAGAGAGAGAAGAAAGAUAAAAAUCAUGAAGAGGAAGAAGAAAACCCAUACUGAACUCACCAGACUACCCUCAUCAUGUCUUGAUCUCACAGAAUUUGACAGCUGAAGUACAGGAAAGAAUUAAGACAGCUGCAAGACAUUCUCCACGAGCUAAAGAAUGGUGGGAUCAUCACCCCAUCCAGAGAUAGAAGGGUCCAGCCGUACAGUCCAUAUUAACAGGUUAGCGCUCAAGCCAACUCAUUAGGAUCCAAGGGAAAGAGUAAGUGAAGGUAAGAAGCUUGGAAAAGAGAAUCAUAAACCUGGUACAGAACCUCUAAAUUAAGAGCAUUUAGUCAUUAAGACUGAAUUGACAAAGCUCAGAGUUAAGGCUAGAGUUAACGAUCACUGAUAAAAUGAAGUUUUGUGGAGUUUCACGCUACAAAAUUAGUAUAGAUAUUCCACAGUGGAGCGUGACUUAGCCCAAUCAAUAUUCUUCAGGCAUUAAGAUGAGCUGAAGACCUGCC
rnacentral:lncRNA from 1 species